UACGGGAGGGUGCAAGCGUUUAUCCGGAUUCACUGGGUUUAAAGGGUGCGUAGGCGGGUUGGUAAAGUCCGGUGGUGAAAUCCCCAAGCUUAACUUGGGAACUGCCGUGGAUACUAUCAAUCUUGAAUAUCGUGGAGGUAAGCGGAAUAUGUCAUGUAGCGGUGAAAUGCUUAGAUAUUGACAUAGAACACCAAUUGCGUAGGCAGCUUACGUACACGAUCAUUGACGCUGAGGCACGAAAGCGUGGGGAGCAAACAGG
rnacentral:rRNA from 1 species